UGUAAAAAUUUCGAACUACGACCCUACUUUGAAACGAUAUAAAACUGGUUUCCCGAUGAGUGAGGUGAUCGCCCACUUCAGGAUCUGUUCAGUUUUACUAGAGUAAUCUACAGGCGAAGUCGGGGCGCUGUAGCUUAAAUACUUUCCGAGAAAAUCGCGAUUUACAUAUUUUUUCCGACAUCGGCCUGCCGAAAAGGUGCUUUCUCGGGCCGACCGGGGCGCUGGGCCGCGCGCCCAGCCAAUGGGCUGGCUUGCAAACCUGUGACUCUUACACCGGUGUCUGAGCGCGGGCCUGGAGUGUGGUCUGGUAGCUCAGAGAGUUGCGUGCUGGAUCGCUACUCAUUUCGGCUCUCCGUGUCGUAGGUUCGACUCUUGACUUUUGGGGGAUUUUUUUUUUU